rnacentral:rRNA from 1 species
AGUGAACGCUGGCGGUAGGCCUAACACAUGCAAGUCGAACGGCAGCACAGGAGAGCUUGCUCUCUGGGUGGCGAGUGGCGGACGGGUGAGGAAUACAUCGGAAUCUACCUUUUCGUGGGGGAUAACGUAGGGAAACUUACGCUAAUACCGCAUACGACCUACGGGUGAAAGUGGGGGACCGCAAGGCCUCAUGCGAUUAGAUGAGCCGAUGUCCGAUUAGCUAGUUGGCGGGGUAAUGGCCCACCAAGGCGACGAUCGGUAGCUGGUCUGAGAGGAUGAUCAGCCACACUGGAACUGAGACACGGUCCAGACUCCUACGGGAGGGAGCAGUGGGGAAUAUUGGACAAUGGGCGCAAGCCUGAUCCAGCCAUACCGCGUGGGUGAAGAAGGCCUUCGGGUUGUAAAGCCCUUUUGUUGGGAAAGAAAUCUUGCCGGUUAAUACCUGGCGAGGAUGACGGUACCCAAAGAAUAAGCACCGGCUAACUUCGUGCCAGCAGCCGCGGUAAUAC